rnacentral:rRNA from 1 species
AUUGCACGCUGGCGGCAGGCCUAACACAUGCAAGUCGAGCGAGCGGCGGACGGGUGAGUAAUGUCUGGGAAACUGCCUGAUGGAGGGGGAUAACUACUGGAAACGGUAGCUAAUACCGCAUACCAUCGGAUGUGCCCAGAUGGGAUUGGCUAGUAGGUGGGGUAACGGCUCACCUAGGCGACGAUCCCUAGCUGGUCUGAGAGGAUGACCAGCCACACGGUAACUGAGACACGGGCCAGACUCCUACGGUAGGCAGCAGGGGGGAAUAUUGCACAAUGGGCGCAAGCCUGAUGCAGCCAUGCCGCGUGUAUGAAGAAGGCCUUCGGGUUGUAAAGUACUUUCAGCGGGGAGGCGUUACCCGCAGAAGAAGCACCGGCUAACUCCGUGCCAGCAGCCGCGGUAAUUC